rnacentral:rRNA from 1 species
GAUGAACGCUGGCGGCGUGCCUAAUACGUGCAAGUCGAGCGGAAAGGCCCUUCGGGGUACUCGAGCGGCGGACGGCUGAGUAACGCGUAGGAACGUACCCCAAAGUGAGGGAUAACUGCUCGAAAGAGUAGCUAAUACCGCAUGUGCUCUUCGGAGUAAAGCUUCGGCGCUUUGGGAACGGCCUGCGUCCUAUUAGCUAGUUGGUGAGGUAAUUGCUCACCAAGGCGACGAUAGGUAGCUGGUCUGAGAGGAUGAUCAGCCAGACUGGGACUGAGACACGGCCCAGACUCCUACGGGAGGCAGCAGUAGGGAAUUUUCCACAAUGGGCGAAAGCCUGAUGGAGCAACGCCGCGUGCAGGAUGAAUGCCUUCGGGUUGUAAACUGCUUUUAUAGGUGAAGAAUAUGGCGGUAACCUAUGAAUAAGGAUCGGCUAACUCCGUGCCAGCCGCCGCAGUAA